UACAGAGGGUGCGAGCGUUAAUCGGAAUUACUGGGCGUAAAGGGCGCGUAGGCGGUUAUAUAAGUUAGAUGUGAAAUCCCUGGGCUUAACCUAGGAACUGCAUCUAAUACUGUGUGACUAGAGUGUAGUAGAGGGUAGUGGAAUUUCCGGUGUAGCGGUGAAAUGCGUAGAUAUCGGAAGGAACACCAGUGGCGAAGGCGGCUACCUGGACUAACACUGACGCUGAGGCGCGAAAGCGUGGGGAUCAAACAGG
rnacentral:rRNA from 1 species